AUUGAACGCUGGCGGCAUGCCUAACACAUGCAAGUCGAACGCUACUUGAGGGGCAACUCUUAAGUGGAGUGGCGGACGGGUGAGUAAUACGUAGGAAUCUGCCUUAGAGUGGGGGAUAACCUGUCGAAAGACGGGCUAAUACCGCAUAACCUCUACGGAGCAAAGGGGGCUAGCAAUAGCUUUCGCUUUAAGAUGAGCCUACGUCGGAUUAGCUAGUUGGUAGGGUAAAGGCCUACCAAGGCGACGAUCCGUAGCUGGUCUGAGAGGACGACCAGCCACACAGAAACUGAGACACGGGCCAGACUCCUACGGGAGGCAGCGGUGGGGAAUAUUGGACAAUGGGGGAAACCCUGAUCCAGCAAUGCCGCGUGUGAGAUGAAGGCCUGCGGGUUGUAAAGCACUUUCGGUGGGGAAGAAAUACUCAAAUAUAAUACAUUUGAGAGCUGACAUUACCCAAAGAAGAAGCACCGGCAAACUCUGUGCCAGCCGCCGCCGUAA
rnacentral:rRNA from 1 species